rnacentral:snRNA from 1 species
GGACAUAAGGGUGAUCUGGCUGUAAUGUCUGUUGCUGCACUGAAGUUGAUCUGGCUGACUGGGUGGCUGUCCCUUUCCUCUCUCAGUAUUCCAUGUGCGUGUCUCCCAAAGCUAGGUACGUGGUCAAAGAUGGCUUUCCCUGUAGGGAGGACUGUUCUGUCAAGGAUAUAAGAGUAGUUCUGCUCUUCUGUUAGAACCUUCAAACAAACUCUGAAGAAAGGUGCCAGAGCCUGAGAGAUGGCUCAGCAGGUCAAGGCCCUUGCUG